GGAAAGGCAAGCUAUUGGUGAGGCGUUUCAGUUGCUAUCUGGGAGAAGAAAUUCUUAUAGGUUCAAUUCCUAUCCUUUCCG
rnacentral:tRNA from 1 species